GUGUCCAAUUCUUUGCGAUUUUUUUUUUUUUUAAUUUGGUCUACAUUACAGAAAAGUUGGGUUGUGGAGAGCAAAAGAGAAAAAGAAUGCCAUGGAGGAUAACUGAAAAGAAAAGAUGGCAGUGAAGAGGAAGGAGUUAAGUGGAGCCACAGUGUCAUGUCGCAGAACCAUUGCCCUCUUUCAGAAAUAAGGAAGAGAAGACCCAGAAUGGCAGGGAAGGGGAUAACUGCCCCAGGAGAAACAGCUUGUUGGUCUCAUGAGAGGAGUUUCCCCAUUACAGACUUCAUCUCCAGAUUAAAUAAGGAUGAAGCAGGUUAUGGUCCCAUCAGAAUUGGGAGGUAUCAUACAGAAGAUUUGGGAUUCCCUGGUAAAGCGUCUGCCUGGAAAUCAGGAGACCCUGGUUUGAUCCCCGGGUCGGGAAGAUUCCCUGGAGAAGGAAAUGGCAACCCACUCCAGUACUCUUGCCUAGAAAAUUCCAUGGAUGGAGGAGCCUGGUGGGCUACAGUCCAUGGGGUCACAAAGAGUCAGACACGACUGAGUGACUUCGUUUUCGCUUUCGCUUUAUAUAGAAGAUAUGAAAGAGGCAUAUGCUCACCUGGCUGUUGA
rnacentral:lncRNA from 1 species